GAGAAUGAGAUGUGCAAUACAUCCUCCCCAUGUCCUUAUUCCAUCAUCCCACUUUUGAAGAUCACCAUUAAAUCUGUAGAGAUCGUUUUUCUAAGUACUGAUAUCGGUCAUACAAUUCAACUUAUUGGUUCACUUUCUUGCGGAUGAAGCGAGUUUCACCAUGAUUCCCCGUUAAUGGUUUUAUAUUGCCCAUCUUCAACAUGGACUUGGCAAAAUCCUGCCAAAAAGCAAUGGGAUAUGAGCUGCACUUGUUCACCGGCGGAUCUCUGCAGCCUCCACUGAACAGUGCUUGAUCGGAGUGGAGAAGCCCCUUCUGCUGUACCAAGUUUGUGAAAUAUACCGUGUCAAGCUAUCUGCAUACUUGUUGGUGCAGGAAGAUCGUGGGGAAUGGUCAAGAUGGUUGGAUGCGAAAUAGAUCAAGCUUUGUCAUUAAAACAACUUGAGGUCGAAAAUAUAUAUAUAUUCGUACACACUGAAUAUAUACGUUGUGUGCUAGUCUUAUAUAUGUUCCGAAAUAUACAAAGCUAAGGUACGUGGGUGUCUUCUAGCUUCUCCCAUCUUCAUAUCCUGACGAAGUCAGUGAAUCCCCCAUCAAUCUCAAAUGUUCAGUGGCAGCUCUGAGCUUCCCCAAAGCUGCCCUUCAAAUCAAGCAGGACGACAAGUUCUUCUCCAGGCUUUUAUCCAAAGAAAGCUCCAGGGCAAACCCUUCUCUCAGAGUGUAUUCUGGAGGAGCAUCCGGCGCUGUUCCAUUCAUGUGGGAAUCUCAGCCUGGCACGCCUAAACAUGCAUUUUCUGACACCGCCCUUCCCUCUUACUCCACCUCCCGCCUAUCGUUGCACUUCCAAGAAGAAACCCAUCAAGAACCACUCAAGAUCCAAUCUUUUACACGCCUUAUUCCUAAAAAUCAGUCCUAAAAAGUCGAUCAAUGUCUCACCUUACCCAUCUCCAUCAACAUCCUCAUCGUCCCUGUCAUCAUCAAAGUUUGCUCCAAUCAGUACACCUACCAAGUACCACGGAAGGAGGCGAGUUUUUAGCCAGAGCAGCUCAUCCUUCGAAUCCAGGGAAGAUGAUGAAGGACAGACCGUCGGAUCACCAACUUCAACAUUGUGUUUCAGGGGUAUUGGGCGUCGAAGCUGCUACCGGUUUUGAGAAUAAAGAAAAAGCCUUUUUCGUAAAAGUUGGGCAAUGGAUCUAGCUAGGUACGACUGCCUAUAGAUUUCCCAUAUGUUUUUCAUGAUUAAGCUUUAGGCUGUCUAAGUUGUUCUGUUGUAGUAACUUGCAGUUCUUACGAUCGAUAUGAAGCAAACUUUCUGAAAUGUAUGAUGGUGAAGUUUGUUUAUACAAAAAAAAUAAGGAGUUGGCUUUCAAGAUUCAUUGUAUCUAAACCAUGUAAUUUUUCAUUAACACAACUCAUCUCUUCCUUCUCCUUCAAAUCUGAAAUGUGAGACUAGAGGGGGACAAUUUGUAUU